GGGAGGAAGUGCGCAUGCGGCCUAGCCUCCCGGAACUCCAGGACGGAACCCGGGGUUUCUUCAAAUGUCUGCCAGACUCUUUCAUGAAGCAGGAACCUGAAGGACUGUCCCACCUUGUUUUGGCAAGUUCAGCAGUCAUGUUUCUGUGGGUCCUACAUGUCCAGUUUAUACAGCAUAUUGUUAAGCAGUCCAGAGUUUCAAGAUUGAGCAGACCUUUACAAGAGUGCUUGACCAGUGUUUCCCAGGAACCAGAAGUGACCAACCCUACAGCAGCCAUCUGAAAGAAGAGUCUGUGUUAAUUCACUCAACAGAUGUGUACUGAGUGGUGCGUGUGCCAGGAACUGUCCUGCGAGCUGGAAUACAACAACGGACAAAAGCAAUCCAAGCCUUGGAUUUGGCCGCCCGAAAUCUAGUUGUGUCACUCUCCACUGCUGAAAACCGCUGUCACGUGUGCUCACACUAACUCACUGUUAACUGCAUACCUGGAAAUAGGGGUGACCUUUGCCAUAGGCCCCUGUGCCAGAAGUCACUGUGCCUCUCCAACGUCAUUAAUAACCCAAGGACUGUAUGUUCCACUUAAAUUUUAUUAUCCUUCACACAGAUCCAUAUUGGUAGAAAAAAACACGCUGGCAAUGUUGGAAGUGUAAAUUGGCAACAGCUUUCUGAAAGGCAAUUUGGCAGUUUCUGUAGGGAGGUUUGGAAAUGUUUGUAUCCCCCGAUCCUCUAAGUCCACUUCUGGGAAUCUGUCCUAAGGAAACAGUCUAAAAUAUGGGCAAAAUUUAUGCUUAAUAAUCUGAAAGUCUAACAGUAGAAAUUGGUUAAAUAAAUUGUAGUCUGACUAUAAUAGGCUAGUAUGCAGUCGUGCUAAUGAAGAGUAUUUAACAGCAUAGUGGAAAUGCUUGUGAUGUUUUAAAAGAAACAAGGAAUUAUUUGCAUACAUCAAAAAAUUUUAAAUGACUAGAAAGGAUUUGUUAAGUUUUGAGUUUUUGAAGUUUGAUAUUUUUUGGUUUAUAUACUUUUAAUAGAUAUUUCUUUAAAAUGAGUACAACAAUUAAAAAUUAGCCUCAGAAGUUAGCAGUGGAGAGACUGGGGCUCCAACACUGAUUUGAUCCAGGAAUAUUAACUGGCUUGGUCACAUGGAGGCUUCGUGGUAUUGUGUCGGCAGCCAGAGUGGGACAGAAAGAAAAAGGAUCCCCACUCCCACCCCAAAGGAGUGUGACCAGAACCCCUACAAAAUGCCAAGGUGGUUAUGAAGACACAAGGGGCACACUUCUAGGAUGUGGCCCUAGGUAGGAAAAAGACUUUCUGCAAAGUCCUUGAGCCUCCCAUAGAAUUUCUUUAGUGCUAAAAAUAGCUUUCAAUGUGCUAAGAAGUCUAUCUCCACCCACAGUAGGGCACACAAGCACCAUGGCUGUGGGCUGUAAUAUUUAUUCUACAAUGAGAAAACAACAUGAAAAUCAUGAGACAUUUAACAUUGUAACUUAAAGAACCCUUGAGGUUCAGAAAUGUUACUUUAUUGCUGUCUGGAAUACAUAAUGUGUAUUCCAGAUAUAUAUACAAUAAUACAAAUGUGUCCUGUACAUAAUUGUGUUCUGGUAUUUUUAAAGAUUUAAUUCUAAUUAUUUGGAGGUGAGUGUGUCAAUAUGAAUAUGGGUGCCAGCGUCAGGGAGGGUUCAGAAGAGGGCAUCAGAUGCACUGAAGCUGGAGUUACAGGUGCUUGUGAACUGCUUGCAAUGGUUGCUGGAAACUGAACUCAGACUCUACAAGAACAGCAGGCACUCUUAACCAGGGAGCCAUCUCUUCAGCCUCUAUGCGGUAGGAUUUUAAGUGACAAACUAUGUAGCCUAUGUCUACAACAGAUGAAAUUAAAACAUGCGCUUUAGUAAAAUAUAAAAACGUUAUCACCUUAGUAAAAUUUGCAGCCUUCAAAGGAGCAGACAAAGUAAAAAGCUACAAUUUAAGAGUUGUAGAGGUUAUAGAGGCCUCGAACUGCAUGAGUUCCUCAGGACCUAAGUGUUUAUCCCUCUGCGUAUAGAAAGAAUACAAAUGGGGCUCAGGCUUUGAGUCUGUCUCUUCAGCUGGCUGUGGCACUGGGCAGUUCAUCUACACCCAGUGCCUCCAUUACUCAUCUGUAAGAGGGAAAGAAUACCAUGUAUCUUAUGGUAUUGUUCAUUUCUCUAAUUCAACAAAUACUCAGUGCUUAUAUAUGCCUGACACUGUUCUAGGCAGAGCAUAUGAUAAUAC